rnacentral:rRNA from 1 species
UACGGGGGGGGCAAGCGUUGUUCGGAAUUACUGGGCGUAAGGGUUCGUAGGUGGCUUGUUAAGUCAGACGUGAAAUCCCUCGGCUCAACCGGGAACUGCGUCUGAGACUGAUGAGCUCGAGUGCAGGAGAGGAACGCGGAAUUCCAGGUGUAGCGGUGAAAUGCGCAGAUAUCAGGAGGAACACCGGUGGCGAAGGCGGGUCUCUGGGCCGAUACUGACGCUGGAGGAGCGAAAGCGUGGGGAGCGAACAGG